GUUUACAUCAGAUAAUCUUUAGAUGUAUUUAUGCAAAUUCCAUUUUAUUAUCCCUAUCUAAAAUAUUGUAUGUCAUCGAUCUACAUUUUAUUUUCCACAAUUGCUUAACCCCCAAAUUGUGGAUGUUUGUCUUUGAACGAAUAUCUUAUUAAUAUUAACUCAUGUGGCAAUGUGUCACUGCAAAUGAAUGAAGCAGAGAACAAGUACACAAAGCUAUAUUAAUUCACGCAUGCGUAUUAAGAGCUAUGAACUGAUAUGGAAAAUUCAAAGGUAUGGUAUUUCAAAUGAUAAUGUUAUUCAUUGUCUGAUGUGGCUCUUCUUUUUUCCGUUUUGAAGAAUUUGCUCAUAUUCUGUCCAUAACUCAAUUUCAAAUUUUCCUGUUAUUAUAUUUAAGUUCAAUGCUGAGGACUGCCUAUGAUAUUUUCCAAACUUAAAAAGACAUUUUUAUUAAGUUCUAUUUUUUUUUUAAACAUAUUAAGUUCUCAUUAUAUGCUUUGAUGUUGUUGUUUCAUGGUGAGGAUAUCCAACGAGUGUUAGUAUAUAGAUUGAUUACUAUGAUUGGGUCUGGUCAGUUUUCUCUCUUGCAAAGUUCAAGUGAUGCACUCUCUUUCACUCAUUAAUUCCAAUUAAUAUUUGCAUAAGAAUCUCUACACAAUUUAAAGAAAUUACAUCUGAAAUAUAAUCUUAUUAAUUU
rnacentral:lncRNA from 1 species